rnacentral:misc_RNA from 1 species
GAUGAAGACGCAGCGAAAUGCGAUAAGUAAUGUGAAUUGCAGAAUUCAGUGAAUCAUCGAAUCUUUGAACGCACAUUGCGCCCGCCAGUAUUCUGGCGGGCAUGCCUGUUCGAGCGUCAUUUCAACCAUCAAGCCCCCGGCUUGUGUUGGGGACCUGCGGCUGCCGCAGGCCCUGAAAACCAGUGGCGGGCUCGCUGUCACACCGAGCGUAGUAGAUUUUCAUCUCGCUCAGGGCGUGCUGCGGUUCCGGCCGUAAAAAGCCUUAUUUACCCAAGGUUGACCUCGGAUCAGGUAGGAAGACCCGCUGAACUUAAGCAUAUCAAUAAGCGGAGGA